rnacentral:tRNA from 1 species
UGGAUUUUAGUUUAAAAAAAACAAUUAAUUUGCAAUUAAUAAAUAUUUAUAAUAAAUCUAA